rnacentral:tRNA from 1 species
AAGGCCCCGCCCGGUACGCCGGCCUUCCGCACCG